GAUGAACGCUAGCGGGAGGCUUAACACAUGCAAGUCGAGCGGCAAGGCAGCAAUGCCCUAGAGCGGCGCACGGGUGAGUAACGCGUAUGCAACCUACCCUUUACAGGGGGAUAGCCCGUCGAAAGGCGGAUUAAUACCCCAUAGUACUAUUUUGUCGCAUGGCAGAAUGGUUAAAGUACCAACGGUAAAGGAUGGGCAUGCGUGACAUUAGUUAGUUGGCGGGGUAACGGCCCACCAAGACUACGAUGCCUAGGGGUUCUGAGAGGAUGAUCCCCCACACUGGUACUGAGACACGGACCAGACUCCUACGGGAGGCAGCAGUGAGGAAUAUUGGUCAAUGGGCGCAAGCUUGAACCAGCCAUCCCGCGUGAAGGAUGAAUGCCCUAUGGGUUGUAAACUUCUUUUAUGUACCAAGAAUGGCCCCGACGUGUCGGGGUUUGACGGUAGUGCAUGAAUAAGCAUCGGCUAACUCCGUGCCAGCCGCCGCAGUAAAAC
rnacentral:rRNA from 1 species